ACUCCUCGCAUGGGGUGUCGGGAAAGAUUAUAUCGGUAUGGGAUGGGGUCGCGUCCUAUCAGGUAGUCGGCGGGGUAACGGCCCACCGAGCCUACGACGGGUAGCCGGCCUGAGAGGGCGACCGGCCACAUUGGGACUGAGAUACGGCCCAGACUCCUACGGGAGGCAGCAGUGGGGAAUAUUGCACAAUGGGCGCAAGCCUGAUGCAGCGACGCCGCGUGCGGGAUGACGGCCUUCGGGUUGUAAACCGCUUUUGAUCGGGAGCAAGCCUUCGGGUGAGUGUACCUUUCGAAUAAGCACCGGCUAACUACGUGCCAGCAGCCGCGGUAAUACGUAGGGUGCAAGCGUUAUCCGGAAUUAUUGGGCGUAAAGGGCUCGUAGGCGGUUCGUCGCGUCCGGUGCGAAAGUCCAUCGCUUAACGGUGGAUCUGCGCCGGGUACGGGCGGG
rnacentral:rRNA from 1 species